UACAGAGGGUGCGAGCGUUAAUCGGAAUUACUGGGCGUAAAGCGCACGUAGGUGGCGACGUAAGUCGGGUGUGAAAGCCCCGGGCUCAACCUGGGAAUUGCAUUCGAGACUGCAUUGCUGGAGUACGGAAGAGGAAGGCGGAAUUCCCGGUGUAGCGGUGAAAUGCGUAGAGAUCGGGAGGAACAUCAGUGGCGAAGGCGGCCGCCUGGACCAGCACUGACACUGAGGCACGAAAGCGUGGGGAGCAAACAGG
rnacentral:rRNA from 1 species